CCGUGCCCAAGAGAUCGGGAUAACACCUGGAAACAGAUGCUAAUACCGGAUAACAACAGAUGAUGCCUAUCAACUGUUUAAAAGAUGGUUCUGCUAUCACUCUUGGAUGGACCUGCGGUGCAUUAGCUAGUUGGUAGGGUAACGGCCUACCAAGGCGAUGAUGCAUAGCCGAGUUGAGAGACUGAUCGGCCACAUUGGGACUGAGACACGGCCCAAACUCCUGCGGGAGGCAGCAGCC
rnacentral:rRNA from 1 species